UACAGAGGUCUCAAGCGUUGUUCGGAUUCAUUGGGCGUAAAGGGUGCGUAGGCGGAUAGGUAAGUCCGUGGUGAAAUCCUGCAGCUUAACUGCAGAACUGCCAUGGAUACUAUCUAUCUUGAAUGUCGUGGAGGUUAGCGGAAUAUGUCAUGUAGCGGUGAAAUGCUUAGAGAUGACAUAGAACACCCAUUGCGAAGGCAGCUAACUACGCGAUAAUUGACGCUGAUGCACGAAAGCGUGGGAUCAAACAGG
rnacentral:rRNA from 1 species